UGAGGAAUAUUGGGCAAUGCCCGCAAGGGUGACCCAGCAACGCCGCGUGGAGGAUGAAUGUCGUAAGAUUGUAAACUCCUGUUAGAGGGGAAGAAUAGUACCGGUUGGACCGGUAUAUGACUGUACCCUCAGAGAAAGCCCCGGCUAACUACGUGCCAGCAGCCGCGGUAAUACGUAGGGGGCAAGCGUUGUCCGGAUUUACUGGGUGUAAAGGGCGCGCAGGCGGGAUAAAAAGUCAGUGGUGAAAUCCUACAGCUUAACUGUAGAACUGCCUUUGAUACUUUUAUUCUUGAGUUCGGGAGAGAGAGACGGAAUUCCAGGUGUAGUGGUGAAAUACGUAGAUAUCUGGAAGAACACCAGUUGCGAAGGCGGUCUCUUGGUCCGACACUGACGCUGAGGCGCGAAAACGUGGGGAGCAAACA
rnacentral:rRNA from 1 species